GGCUGCGUAGUUCAAUUGGAUAGAAUAUCAGAUUUCGGCUCUGAGGGUUGAGGGUUCGAAUCCUUCCGCGGUCA
rnacentral:tRNA from 2 species